rnacentral:rRNA from 1 species
CGGGGUGCGCAGGCGCGAAAACUCCACAAUGUACGGAAGUACGAUGGGGUUAUCUCGAGUGCAGUCCGCUAAGGGCUGCUUUUCCAUAGAGUAAUAUCCUGUGGGAAUAAGAGGGGGGCAAGACUGGUGUCAGCCGCCGCGGUAGCACCAGCCCCUCGAGUGGUGGGGACUAUUAUUUGGCCUAAAGCGUCCGUAGCUGGCUGUAUCCGUCCCCCGUUAAAUCCAGCGUCCUAAGCGUUGGACCGCGGGUGAUACCAUACAGCUAGAGGGUGGGAUAGGUGAGCGGUAUUUCUGGGGUAGGGGCGAAAUCCUUUGAUCCCAGGAGGACCACCAGUGGCGAAGGCUGCUCACUAGAACACGCCUGACGGUCAGGGACGAAAGCUGGGGCAGCGAACCGGAUUAGAUACCCGGGUAGUCCCAGCUGUAAACGAUGCUAGCUAGGUGUUGGGUCGGCCACGCGCCGCCCCAGUGCCGCAGGGAAGCCGUUAAGCUAGCCGCCUGGGGAGUACGGCCGCAAGGCUGAAACUUAAAGGAAUUGGCGGGGGAGCAC